rnacentral:lncRNA from 1 species
ACAUCCAAGACCCUGGAAAACCACUUUUACGCCAACAUUAUAGCCAAGACCCACACUAAUGGUCAGAGUGCCAUUGUUAUAGUCAAUCAUGGUGGUGGCUACCGGCUCUUCAUUCACAUAAUCUCCACUGAUGCACUUAACUUGAUGAUUGAUCCGGGAACACCCAGUGGCGAAAAACAGAACCAAAUGACUGUCGUGUUCCAAGGAAAUGCUUCUUGUGCCAUUCGAUUGAACCACAGGAUAAUCAAUUCUUUGAUAGCCGGGACUCACAACAACCACCCUCGGGAAAAUCUCAUCGCUUCGGGAGUUUUUGACAACCAAAGUGACAUUAUAAGCUGAAGCCUGGCCCAGAUCUGCAAAAGUAAAGCUUCGAUUACUUGACAAGUGCAAAUACACAUACUCUUUUUAUUACAAGAGGUCACAAAAACAAUUUAAAACUGAUUCAACCCUAAUCGCCAUCUUAGGUACUAACACUAUGGAAUGUUUCUGAAUUGCCAAUACUAGAUGAUUUCAAAUCCAAGCCAAAUGGGCAACAGCGAAGCUAAUAAAAAAAGGAGAAGAACAAUCAAAAAGUACAGUUGCAGCAAAAUAUCGCCUUCUUCAAUAGUUGUGAUAACUCCCCCAUAAUCCAUGAGAAAGAUCUAUGAUAGGAGAGAGGAGAGAUAUGGCUAGGGUUAAGGUACUAACGCUAUGGAAUGAUUUUCUGAAUUGCCAAUACCAGAUGAUUUCAAACCCAAGCCAAAUGGGCAACAGCAAAGCUAAUAAAAAACGGAGAAGAACAAUCAAAAGUACAGUUGCAGCAAAAUAUCGCCUUCUUCAAUAGUUGUGAUAACUCCCCCAUAAUCCAUGAGAAAGAUCUAUGAUAGGAGAGAUAUGGCUAGGGUUAAGGUACUAACGCUAUGGAAUGAUUUUCUGAAUUGCCAAUACCAGAUGAUUUCAAACCCAAGCCAAAUGGGCAACAGCAAAGCUAAUAAAAAAACGGAGAAGAACAAUCAAAAGUACAGUUGCAGCAAAAUUCGCCUUCUUCAAUAGUUGUGAUAACUCCCCCAUAAUCCAUGAGAAAGAUCUAUGAUAGGAGAUAGGAGAGAUAUGGCUAGGGUUAAGGUACUAACGCUAUGGAAUGAUUUUCUGAAUUGCCAAUACCAGAUGAUUUCAAACCCAAGCCAAAUGGGCAACAGCAAAGCUAAUAAAAAACGGAGAAGGACAAUCAAAAGUACAGUUGCAGCAAAAUAUCCUUCUUCAAUAGUUGUGAUAACUCCCCCAUGAUCCAUGAGAAAGAUCUAUGAUAGGAAAGAGGAGAGAUAUGGCUAGGGUUAAGGUACUAACGCUAUGGAAUGAUUUUCUGAAUUGCCAAUACCAGAUGAUUUCAAACCCAAGCCAAAUGGGCAACAGCAAAGCUAAUAAAAAACGGAGAAGAAAAAUCAAAAGUACAGUUGCAGCAAAAUAUCGCCUUCUUCAAUAGUUGUGAUAACUCCCCCAUAAUCCAUGAGAAAGAUCUAUGAGAGGAGAGAUAUGGCUAGGGUUAAGGUACUAACGCUAUGGAAUGAUUUUCUGAAUUGCCAAUACCAGAUGAUUUCAAACCCAAGCCAAAUGGGCAACGGCAAAGCUAAUAAAAAACGGAGAAGAACAAUCAAAAGUACAGUUGCAGCAAAAUAUCGCCUUCUUCAAUACUCCCCCAUAAUCCAUGAGAAAGAUUUAUGAUAGGAGAGAUAUGGCUAGGGUUUUUACAUGAAGGGAGGGGAAUGCGGCUUUCACAAAACCCUAGCCAUACAAACACUAAUCCAGUUUUACUAAUAUCGCAGAACGAUCUCAUGAAUUACCAAAACCAUGAUGAUCGCCGAGGCGCAACAACAAGCAUCGCAGAGGAAGCUCUACGGUUUCGACCGACCGUCACCGGUAGCAACACACGAUCCAAUCAACAGCAAAGAUGAAUUCAAGAAGGAUAAGAAGGACUCACGAAGGGCUAGUAGUAGCAGAGCAAGCAUCACCGUCGUCAGCGGCCGCGGCCCCAUUCUCAUCGGCCGAAGGAUUGAAGGAGUCGAGGAAUCGCGAAUCGGUCUCUGGGGUUUCGGAGGAGAAAUGUCGAUAGCUUGCAUCGUAAGCGAGAACCCAGAUUUUCUUUGUUUAUAUUUUGGGAAAAUAUGAUCCUGAACUUUUCAAUUUCAUCCUAAGUUUUCGAUUUGCUCAAUUUAGUCCUGAACUACCACCUAAUGUACAAUCUCCUCCCUAGACUUUUAAUUUGUUCAAUUUUGUCCCUAAUUAUCGAUAAAUAUCGGAUCUAGCUAUUUGAAAAUUGACCAAUUUCAUCCCGAAUUUUUGAUUUGCUUAAUUUAGUCAUGAGAAGAGAGGAUCGUGGGAAAAUGGAGUUACCUAGUUACAUUGUUCCUUAAAACGUCCAUCAAACACCCGGGACUGAAGUGUCGAGAUGUUCCCAAGCGAUGCUGUUAGCCCUGUCUAAAUCCGGUUGUCAAACCUGCAAGAGAAAGCGCGACAAUCGAUGAAUCCACCACCAUGCAACCAGGAACGCAAAAUAGCCUUUGUCCGAAGGACACAAGCAAUGCUGUCUUGUAUCAAUAUGACCAAAUAUAUAGCUAUAUACAAAAUGACUAGGGUAAUCAGAAAUCGGGAUGUUUUACAAAAUCGCCAAUAAAGUUAUAUAUAAUUUUAAAGCUUUAAAUAUUAAGCAAUUACUGCUAUGCAAAUUAUCAUUUUACGAAUAUUUGGCCCUAAGAAGGCCCUUGCCUUACAAAAAUCUGUUAAAAUCCCUAAAUUUCCUUCAAUUUCACACUAAAAUUUUGAUAGAUUUGUCAUUGGUGUACCCAUUUAGAUUUUUUCUAACACAAAAAUUAAUUGAGAAUAAAUGUGACAUAGAUACAUAGUGGUAUGAACCCUGGAUCUGAAGAAAAUGAACCAAGAUUGGAAAAUUUACUAAAAUUGGCUUUGGAGCAAAUUGGCUUUGAUGAUAUUAACUGAAAGAUACAAGGUGAGACGCACCUAUGGAGAAUUGAACCCACAACCUCUAACAUAAUUCCCAAGUAUUCCAAACUUAUCUACAAUUUGUUAAUUUUCGUCUAAUACCCCUGAUCCGUUGCUAACACAGAAACACACAAGGCAAACUACAAGAAUGACCAACGUGUGAUGUGCGUCCAACCUAAAAUUCAAUACAAAUAAUUCUCCUAAACGAAGUCGUUUUGAAGAAGCCAAGUCGAAACCGGAAGAUAUGCUAAUUUUGCCAGGGAGAAUUACUAAAAAAGUCCUAAACCUAUCACAAUUGUGCCAAUUCAGUUCUAAACUUUUUUUUUUUUUACCAAUUUAGUCAUAAACCUUUUUUACAACCGGUUGGCAUUGACGUGGACGCCGGCCAGGGAUAGCUGGCCGAUGAACGCUGAUGCGGGCGAGGCUCACCUUCACCAGUGGCCGGCGAGGGCAAGCCUCACCAAUGGAAGGAGAAGAUGGGAAAAAAAAAAUCAAAAUUUUUUUUUUAAAAAUAUAUAUAUAUUUAAAAAUGCCACAUCAGCAUUCGCUGACAAGCUAUCACCGGCCGGCAUCCACAUCAGCGCCAACCGGUCAAUUUUGGCCGGAUGGACUGAAUUAGCAUAAUUGUAAGAGAAGCACUAAAUUGGCCAAAAAAAAAAAUUAUGACUAAAUUAACACAAUGGAUAAACUGAAUUAGCAUAAUUGUAAAAGAUUUAGCACUAAAUUGGCCAAAAAAAAAGUUAGGACUGAAUUAACACAAUUGUAAUAGAUUUAGGACUUUUUUGGUAAUUCUCCCAAUUUUGCCCUAAAAGGGCCCUUGAGUUUCAAAAAUCUGUGAAAAUCCCUAACUUUUCCUCAAAAUUUUGGACUAAGAUUUUGGUAGAUUUGUCACACGUGCAACCAUUUAAAUUUGUUGCGACACGAAAAUUAAUUGAGCAUAAGUGCAACACGGAUACAUAGUGGUAUUAACCUCGGAUCUGAAGAAAAUAAACUAAGAUUGGAAAAUUUGCUAAAAUCAGCUUUGGAGCAAAUUGGCUUUGGUGAUAUUAACUGAAAAAUACAGGGCGAGAUGCGCCUAAGGAGAACGGAACCCGCGACCUCUAACAUAAAGUUAGCACACAAGACGCUCGGCCGAUAAAGACUUGCUAUUCUCUUAUCUUCACCAGCAUGGCGGAGGUGCUGGUACUCGGCCUCACGUCGCCGUUUUCGGUGGGGGGCUGGAAUCUGCUGCUGCUGCCGCUAGCUCUUCCUCCACCUACGGUAUUUCCUUCCAUUCCUAUCUCAAAAUCUCUGAUUCGACGUGCUGUUUUCUACACGAUUUCGCGGCGGAGGAGAGAUGUUAAGCAUGAAAGAUGUAAAGAAGCGUUUACCUGGGCUUUAGGGAGACAAGAAGCUGGAUGGCUGGGCAGGACCAUGUGCCCGAGGCUCUCCAUGCCCUCCAUAGUCUGAACGAGCUCUUGAAGGCACCAAUUCGCUCAAACCGUGUUUUCCGAUAUGGAACCGGGAUUGAGAUCUUGCCAUUCCUAAUGGCCCAGAGAAGGUCGGUGCCGAUCUUCUCACCGUCAUCUCUGAACACAGCAUUGUGGAGGCGAUCUGUCACGGUUUUUGUGAGUAUCGUUGCCACCGAAGCCCAAGAACACACGCCGUAGUUGCUGAUCCUAUGCUUUUCCAACGAUUGCUCCUUCUGUUGAUCUGGACAAAACUUGUAUGAACGAGUCUUUCGGUCAUAAUGAAUCGGGUUGCCUUAGGAAGAUGACCGUGUGGAGGGGGCAGCCUUGAGCAAUUUCCUUCAGGAUGUACAUCGCGUGAAACGUCCAACUAAAUAGAAAUUCGCUGGCAGCCUAGCGAACCCACCAUUCCCUUUCUUUUUGUAAAGAGAAAGAAAAAGCACAGACGACAAAUGAUUCUUCUUUUCUUUAACUUGACGCAAUGAACAAACAGCUUUUGUCUCGGGGAAGCUUUGUUGCGUCUUCCGAACACCAUGCGCCAAGCCACGUUCUGGUGAAGUAGGCGAACGGGCGAGCGAAUGAUGCUUUUGCCAUCUUCCGAUGCACGAUUUCAAAGAAUAAUUCGAGAGAUUCUCCCGCGGUGGCGAUGCCUCAGAAUCUCAGAUGCCUCCGUGUGCUCCACGGCAAACCUUGGCAACGGCGUUAUAUUCGUCUUCCUGGAAAGUACCAUCUGGAGCAGUCACUGCUUUCCAGGACGUAUGGGAUGUCCCGUUCUGGUUGAGUUAGUCACAAAAAAAGUCCCGUUCUGGUCACCUAACUUUAUAGCUUUAUGGAUGGCGGACCGUGGUGGGACUUGCACGAGCACCCGUGGUUGUCCCCUCUCUUCAGGUUCUUGCCACAUCUUCUCAGACCCCGACAUUUGUCCCUGGUUAAAAUGCAGCUGAUGACGAGUGAUCACAUCCAAGACCCGGAAAAUCACUUUACAACGACAUAUAGCCAAGACCCACACUAAUGUCAGAGUGCCAUUGUUAUAGUCAAUCAUGGUGGUGGCUACCGGCUCUUCAUUCACACAAUCAUCUUGAGGACAAUCUCCACUGAUGCACUUAACUUGAUGAUUGAUCCGGGAACACCCAGUGGCGAAAAACAGAACCGAAUGACUGUCGUGUUCCA